rnacentral:rRNA from 1 species
AGAGUUUGAUCCUGACUCAGAAUCAACGCUGGCGGCGUGCCUAACACAUGCAAGUCGCACGAGAAAGGGGAGCAAUCCCUGAGUAUAGUGGCGCACGGGUGAGUAACACGUGACUAACCUACCCUCGAGUGGGGAAUAACCUAGGGAAACCUGGGCUAAUACCGCAUAACACUUACGAGUCAAAGCAGCAAUGCGCUUGGGGAGGGGGUCGCGGCCGAUUAGCUAGUUGGCGGGGUAAUGGCCCACCAAGGCAAUGAUCGGUAUCCGGCCUGAGAGGGCGCACGGACACACUGGAACUGAAACACGGUCCAGACUCCUACGGGAGGCAGCAGUGGGGAAUUUUGCGCAAUGGGGGAAACCCUGACGCAGCAACGCCGCGUGGAGGAUGAAGUCUCUUGGGACGUAAACUCCUUUCGAUCGGGAAGAUAAUGACGGUACCGAUAGAAGAAGCCCCGGCUAACUUCGUGCCAGCAGCCGCGGUAAUACGAGGGGGGCAAGCGUUGUUCGGAAUUAUUGGGCGUAAAGGGUGCGUAGGCGGUCUGGUAAGUCUUGUGUGAAAUCUUCAGGCUCAACCUGAAGUCUGCAUGAGAAACUGCCGGGCUUGAGUAUGGGAGAGGUGAGUGGAAUUUCCGGUGUAGCGGUGAAAUGCGUAGAUAUCGGAAGGAACACCUGUGGCGAAAGCGGCUCACUGGACCAUAACUGACG